GACGAACGCUGGCGGCGUGCUUAACACAUGCAAGUCGAACGGAAAGGCCCUGCUUGCCGGGUACUCGAGUGGCGAACGGGUGAGUAACACGUGGGUGAUCUGCCCUGCACUUCGGGAUAAGCCUGGGAAACUGGGUCUAAUACCGGAUAGGAGCCAUUUUUAGUGUGAUGGUUGGAAAGUUUUUUCGGUGUAGGAUGAGCUCGCGGCCUAUCAGCUUGUUGGUGGGGUAAUGGCCUACCAAGGCGGCGACGGGUAGCCGGCCUGAGAGGGUGGACGGCCACAUUGGGACUGAGAUACGGCCCAGACGCCUACGGGAGGCAGCAGUGGGGAAUAUUGCACAAUGGGCGCAAGCCUGAUGCAGCGACGCCGCGGGGGGGAGGACGGCCUUCGGGUUGUAAACGCCUUUCGCUAGGGACGAAGCUUUUUGUGACGGUACCUAGAGAAGAAGCACCGGCUAACUACGUG
rnacentral:rRNA from 1 species